AACACUUCAACAACAACAGCGAGUCAUCCACCUCGGUAGCCAACAUAGCUGAAAAAUUCAAGCUGUUUAGACUGUUUCGGUGUAUAUUAACCACUAUGAUUUAAACACACUUCUGUCGACUUAUGCCGUUUACCUAGUUACCCCCUUUAAUUCCAUAUUUACCUUGGUAGUAGCUAGCUGGAUAGCUAACAUACACGACCAUAAGCUCCCUAAACUACUCUCCUCCUGCUAAAGAAGAAGAGGUCUGCUGGAUGGAGAAAGAAGGUCUCGUGAAAGAGGAGAAGGAAGAGGAUGAAACAAUAAAACAAGAAGUAGAGGGUGAGGUUGUUACAGUGAAAGAAGAAGAGAAAGUCGUUUCAGUGAAAAAAGAGGAAGACGCGUUCAGCGUGAAAGAGGAGGAUGUUACUGUGAAAGAAGAUGUGGAGGAACGGGAAGAUAACAGUCACAUCGAAAGAGAAGGAGGAGGAGAGAGACCAGACUCUCCUUCUGACAGCAAGAAGAGUCCUUCAGGGGAACCAGGCCCUGAAACGUCCAAACCAGCAGGACGACAUCACUGCUCCCAGUGUGGAAAGAGUUUUACUCAGGGAGCCUGAAAACACUGAAGAGAAGCCUUACCACUGCUCCUUGUGCAGAAAGAGUUUUAGGUGGUUAGGGAGCGUGGAAAGGCAUGAGAGGACACACAGAGGAGAAAAGCCUUUCCAAUGUUCCCAUUGUGGAAAGAGUUGUUCCCAGUUAGGGAGCUUGAAGGAGCAUGAGAGGACACACACAGGAAAAAAGACAUACCGCUGCUCCCACUGUGGAAAGAGAUUUACCCGGUUAAGGUACCUGAAGGAGCAUGAAAGAAUACAUACAAAUACACAGGAGGAGAAGACAUACCACUGCUCUCAUUGCGGAAAGACAUUUUCCCCGUCAGAGGACCUGAAAACACAUGAGAGAAUAGAGAGGCUGUGUUCUGACUUGUGUUUUUGACUGAGAAUUUGUGUUUUUGUUUGGGCUGUCAGACUUGAGAACUUUAAUUGCGAUUAAUCCAUUGUCCGAAAGGGUUAAAAACACUGAAAACAUCCAAAAUACAUACUGUAUACUGCUAAAAUCUACAAUGCCAUGUAAAAACAAGAUGACAUUGUAAUAUUUUUAAAAUGGUAUAACUUUUUGCUGGACCCCAGGAAGAGUAGCUGCUCCCUUGGCAGGAACUAAUGGGGAUCCAUAAUAAACCCCAGGAAGAGUGCAUGCUGCCUUUGCAGGAACUAAUGGGGAUCCAUAAUAAACCCCAGGAGGAAUAGCUGCUGCUUUGGAAGGAACUAAUGGGAACCCAUAAUAAACCCCAGGAAGAGUAGCUGCUGCCUUGGCAGGAACUAAUGGGGAUCCAUAAUAAACCCCAGAAAGAGUAGCGGCUGCCUUGGCAGGAACUAAUGGGGAUCCAUAAUAAACCCCAGGAAGAGUAGCUGCUGCCUUGGCAGGAACUAAUGGUGAUCCAUAAUAAAUACAAAUACUUGUAUCAAUA